GUCAGCAUGGGCUGUGUGUUUCCUUCCUCUUCCUGCUGCUACUGAGGUACCUGGGAUUUGCAGUCCAGAACUACAGGAGCAGGAAUCUGCAGGGUUGUUCAUCUCUGCCUACUUCUAGGUACCUUUGGGAUUUGUAGUCCACAGUCACAGCCAGCAGUAACUUUCAGUAAGUUUAGCAGCAGGGCAGCUCUGUUUAACCCCCAUUCCCUGACCCCAGACCUCAGCCUGGGUUUGCCUGUGGGGGCAGGCUCUGCCUCUCCCUACCCCCACCUUUCUCUGCUGGAGCAGACAGCACAGCCCAGAGAUGGAAAGCAUGCUGGGGAACUGUGAUUUAAUUUGAACUAGGAAGGGACAGAUGUUUCAUAAACCAGUUUGACCCAAAGCAGCUAGCCUGAACAUCUGGUUUGGACUAGAACAGAAAAAGGAGGUGAACAAAAUAAUUAAGAAGUCCUUUCCCUCUGAGAGAUGUGGUACUUGAUUAUAGGUACUAGACUGCGAGAGACCCAGGACCCUACUGAGUUUUCUGGAGAAGCUGGAUAUGUUAAGCUAGCUAUCUGCAAGACUUUAGGUCUGGAUGAUAUCUCCCCUCUGGCAUUUGGGAAAUACCAUCAAAGAUCCAGUAUUUUUCAGCAUCACUCUCCAGGAGGGCUAUUCCAACUCUUAUUCCCCAAAGCCUCCACACUGACCCAGGUAAAUUGCUGUGCUCAUUCUCGUCCUCUUUUCAGGGGUCACUCUUUCCUCCUCUGUG